AUUGAACGCUAGCGAGAUGCCUUACACAUGCAAGUCGAACGGAGUGGCGAACGGGUGAGGACUGUAUCGGAACGUGCCCAGUAGCGGGGGAUACCUACGCGAAAGCGUAGCUAAUACCGCCUACUAUUGGAGCGGCAGUAAUCGGAUUAGACAGUUGGUGGGGUAACGGCUCACCAAGGCGACGAUCCUGAGCUUGUUAGGGAGGACGCCCAGCCACACUGUGACGUAGACGACGCCCAGACUCCUACUGGAGGCCGCAGUGGGGAAUUUUGGACAAGUGGGGAAACCCUGAUCCAUCCAUCCCGCGUGUGCGAUGAAGGCCUUCGGGUUGUAAAGCACUUUUGGCAGGAAAGCGGUACCUGCAGAAUAAGCACCGGCUAACUACGUGCCAGCAGCCGCGGUAAUUC
rnacentral:rRNA from 1 species